UUGUGCUAGGUGGGGAACUAGCGGUGCCCUUUACCCGCAAUCCGCUUUAGCGGGGCUGAAUUCCUACUGGAGGAUAGUUUGAUCAGAAACUGCAAUUUAUAAUAAAUGCUGAGAACUUGGUCUUGCGCGGCAAUACCUGGUUAAUUCCGUCAGGUCCGGAAGGAAGCAGCGGUAUAUCAGUCGUAUUGGGUGCCGCAAGGUAGCUGAGUUUGAGUUUAUUUGUAUGCGUAAGACUGUGAGGUUGUUCGAAAGUAGGGCACAA
rnacentral:SRP_RNA from 1 species